UACGAAGGGGGCUAGCGUUGCUCGGAAUCACUGGGCGUAAAGGGUGCGUAGGCGGGUCUUUAAGUCAGGGGUGAAAUCCUGGAGCUCAACUCCAGAACUGCCUUUGAUACUGAAGAUCUUGAGUUCGGGAGAGGUGAGUGGAACUGCGAGUGUAGAGGUGAAAUUCGUAGAUAUUCGCAAGAACACCGGUGGCGAAGGCGGCCAACUGGACCGACACUGACGCUGAGGCGCGAAAGCGUGGGGAGCAAACAGG
rnacentral:rRNA from 1 species